AGCGAACGCUGGCGGCAGGCCUAACACAUGCAAGUCGAACGAACUCUUCGGAGUUAGUGGCGGACGGGUGAGUAACACGUGGGAACGUGCCUUUUGGUUCGGAAUAACUCAGGGAAACUUGUGCUAAUACCGAAUGUGCCCUUCGGGGGAAAGAUUUAUCGCCAUUAGAGCGGCCCGCGUCUGAUUAGCUAGUUGGUGAGGUAACGGCUCACCAAGGCGACGAUCAGUAGCUGGUCUGAGAGGAUGACCAGCCACACUGGCACUGAGACACGGCCCAGACUCCUACGGGAGGCAGCAGUGGGGAAUCUUGCGCAAUGGGCGAAAGCCUGACGCAGCCAUGCCGCGUGAAUGAUGAAGGUCUUAGGAUUGUAAAAUUCUUUCACCGGGGACGAUAAUGACGGUACCCGGAGAAGAAGCCCCGGCUAACUUCGUG
rnacentral:rRNA from 1 species